rnacentral:rRNA from 1 species
UCCGUAGGGUGCAAGCGUUGUCCGGAAUUAUUGGGCGUAAAGAGCUCGUAGGCGGUUUGUCGCGUCUGCUGUGAAAACUGGAGGCUCAACCUCCAGCCUGCAGUGGGUACGGGCAGACUAGAGUGCGGUAGGGGAGAUUGGAAUUCCUGGUGUAGCGGUGGAAUGCGCAGAUAUCAGGAGGAACACCGAUGGCGAAGGCAGAUCUCUGGGCCGUAACUGACGCUGAGGAGCGAAAGCAUGGGGAGCGAACAGG